rnacentral:rRNA from 1 species
GAGUUUGAUCAUGGCUCAGAGCGAACGUUAGCGGCGCGCCUAACACAUGCAAGUCGCACGAGGUAGCAAUACCUAGUGGCGCACGGGUGCGUAACACGUAGAUAAUCUGCCCUUCAGCGGGGGAUAACGUUCCGAAAGGAGCGCUAAUACCGCAUACAGCAGCGAGUGGUUCGCCAUUUGUUGGCAAAGGCUGGGAUCUUCGGACCAGCCACUGAAGGAGGAGUCUGCGGCCCAUCAGCUAGUUGGUAAGGUAACGGCUUACCAAGGCAAAGACGGGUAGCUGGUCCGAGAGGAUGAUCAGCCACACUGGUACUGGAACACGGACCAGACUCCUACGGGAGGCAGCAAGUGGGGAAUCUUGGUCAAUGGGCGCAAGCCUGAACCAGCGA